GGAGUUGGCUGAACAGUCGCGCCAUUGGGCACCUCGGUUCUCUUUGAGCGAACCGUUGAGUGCUGAUGGGGAGGAAAGUCCGGGCUCCAUAGGGCAGGGUGCCAGGUAACACCUGGGGGGCGUGAGCCUACGGAAAGUGCCACAGAAAAUACACCGCCUAAGUGUUUGGGUUCGCCUGAAUGCCGGUAAGGGUGAAAAGGUGCGGUAAGAGCGCACCGCGCCGGUGGCAACAUCGGUGGCAGGGUAAACCCCACUCGGAGCAAGACCAAAUAGGGGAACAAUAGGCGUGGUCCGCGCCGUUCCCGGGUAGGUCGCUUGAGAUAUACGGUGACGUGUAUCCAGAUGAAUGGCUGUUCUUGACAGAACCCGGCUUACAGGCCGACUCCCUCU
rnacentral:RNase_P_RNA from 1 species